rnacentral:snoRNA from 1 species
CCCCUCCAGACGCCUUACACCUCAGCUCUAAACACUGGUCUGAGCGGCUGUCAAAGGAGGAAGAGGCAAACUGAAGUGGACUUGGAUUCUCUGGUGACAUACAAGUUCAUUUCAAACAAAU